rnacentral:snoRNA from 1 species
AUGGAUCCACAAAGCUCCUAAAUAAAUGUCUUUCUAUGGUCUGUUGUCCAUUUUAGAAAUUUAAAAUUUUUAUAGUCGAUUAAUUAGAAAGAACCAUCU